rnacentral:rRNA from 1 species
UACGAAGGGGGCGAGCGUUGUUCGGAUUUACUGGGCGUAAAGGGCGCGUAGGCGGCCCUCCUCGUCGCGUGUGAAAGCCCCGGGCUCAACCUGGGAAUUGCGCGCGAAACGGGGGGGCUUGAGUUCGGGAGAGGAGCGUGGAAUACUUGGUGUAGCAGUGAAAUGCGUAGAUAUCAAGUGGAACACCGAUGGCGAAGGCAGGUCUCUGGGCCACUACUGACGCUGAGAAGCGAAAGCAUGGGGAGCGAACAGG